rnacentral:rRNA from 1 species
CCUGAUGCAGCGACGCCGCGUGAGGGAUGACUGCCUUCGGGUUGUAAACCUCUUUCAGCAGGGACGAAGCGAAAGUGACGGUACCUGCAGAAGAAGCACCGGCCAACUACGUGCCAGCAGCCGCGGUAAUACGUAGGGUGCAAGCGUUGUCCGGAAUUAUUGGGCGUAAAGAGCUCGUAGGCGGCUCGUCGCGUCGGCUGUGAAAACCUGGGGCUCAACCCCGGGCCUGCAGCCGAUACGGGCGAGCUAGAAUUCGGUAGGGGAGACUGGAAUUCCUGGUGUAGCGGUGAAAUGCGCAGAUAUCAGGAGGAACACCGGUGGCGAAGGCGGGUCUCUGGGCCGAUAUUGACGCUGAGGAGCGAAAGCGUGGGGAGCGAACAGGAUUAGAUACCCUGGUAGUCCACGCCGUAAACGUUGGGAACUAGGUGUGGGCCACAUUCCACGUGGUCUGUGCCGCAGCUAACGCAUUAAGUUCCCCGCCCUGGGAGUACG